AUUGAACGCUGGCGGCAUGCUUUACACAUGCAAGUCGAACGGCAGCACGGACUUCGGUCUGGUGGCGAGUGGCGAACGGGUGAGUAAUACAUCGGAACGUACCCAGUAAUGGGGGAUAACUAUCCGAAAGGAUAGCUAAUACCGCAUACGCCCUACGGGGGAAAGAGGGGGAUCGCAAGACCUCUUGUUAUUGGAGCGGCCGCUGGCUGAUUAGCUAGUUGGUGAGGUAAAGGCUCACCAAGGCGACGAUCAGUAGCGGGUCUUAGAGGACGUGCCGCACGACGGGAGCAGGUACCCGGUGCAGAGUCCGACGGUAGGCAGAAGUGGGGAAUUUUGGACAAUGGGCACGAGCCUUAUCCAGCAAUGCCGCGUGCGUGAAGAAGGCAUUCGGGUUGUAAAGGGCUUUUGUCAGGGAGCAAAUCCUAGUGGCUGAUACCCACCGGGGAUGAGAGUACCUGAAGAAUAAGGACCGGCUAACUACGUGCCAGCAGCCUCGGUAA
rnacentral:rRNA from 1 species